rnacentral:rRNA from 1 species
CCUACCCUUGACAUGUCUGGAAUCCUGAAGAGAUUUGGGAGUGCUCGCAAGAGAACCGGAACACAGGUGCUGCAUGGCUGUCGUCAGCUCGUGUCGUGAGAUGUUGGGUUAAGUCCCGCAACGAGCGCAACCCUUGUCAUUAGUUGCUACGAAAGGGCACUCUAAUGAGACUGCCGGUGACAAACCGGAGGAAGGUGGGGAUGACGUCAAGUCCUCAUGGCCCUUAUGGGUAGGGCUUCACACGUCAUACAAUGGUCGGGACAGAGGGUUGCCAACCCGCGAGGGGGAGCCAAUCUCAGAAACCCGAUCGUAGUCCGGAUUGCAGGCUGCAACUCGCCUGCAUGAAGUCGGAAUCGCUAGUAAUCGCGGAUCAGCAUGUCGCGGUGAAUACGUUCCCGGGUCUUGUACACACCGCCCGUCACACCAUGGGAGUGGGUUUCACCAGAAGUAGGUAGCCUAACCGCAAGGGGGGCGCUUACCACGGUGGGAUUCAUGACUGGGGUGAAGUCGUAACAAGGUAAGCGUAGUGCU